rnacentral:lncRNA from 1 species
CAGGUUGAAAAAGUUGAAAAUUCAUGUUAAAAUUGCUCCAGGCUGAUGUAAAUUAUAUGUCCGGCACUUAAGCACUUACCCUGUUCUCAUUGACCUUGACAGCAAUUACAGAGGUCGUAUUUCUCUAUGGGGAACUGGAGUCUGAACAAUUUAUCAACUACACUGGAAGCAGAGAAACUUUACUUGUACCCACACACAACUAGGAGUCUUCCUUUUUAAAGCAAAACUUCCUGUGACCAUUGCAAAUAAAACCAUUGUAUGUAUAUUGAGUUCUUUCAAGUCCUGAGAAAGAAAAUGCUUGUCAGUCCUUUUUUUUUUUUUUUUUUUUUUUUUUCUUGAAAUGUGUUCCAGGAGUAGUCUUCAGUUGUCUGUCAUGUCACGGGCAGUACUCUUUAGUGUGCUGAGGGAAGAUAAAAAACUAUGCAGGUAACUGGUCCUACUGAAGAGUGGACAAGAAGUAUUCCUAGAACAACUGCAAUACUGAGAAUUUCAUGGCUGCUUUUAGGCAGGACUGAUCAAGUGCCUGACUCAGAUUGCCAUUUGGAACAUAAGCAAGCAGUGUCCAGAUUUCACCAUGAAGACAGACUUUUCAAGAAGAGCUGGAUAUGGUGUUGGAAGAGACAGAUUUCAGAAUUGAAUCAG